AGCGAACGCUGGCGGCAGGCCUAACACAUGCAAGUCGAACGCGUGUAGCAAUACACGAGUGGCGCACGGGUGAGUAACGCGUGGAUAUCUGCCUUUUGGUUCGGAAUAACCCCGGGAAACUGGGGCUAAUACCGGAUGGUUCCUUCGGGAUAAAGAUUUAUCGCCAAAAGAUGAGUCCGCGUCCGAUUAGCUAGUUGGUGAGGUAAGGGCUUACCAAGGCGACGAUCGGUAGCUGGUCUGAGAGGACGAUCAGCCACACUGGGACUGAGACACGGCCCAGACUCCUACGGGAGGCAGCAGUGGGGAAUAUUGGACAAUGGGGGCAACCCUGAUCCAGCCAUGCCGCGUGAGUGAUGAAGGCCUUCGGGUUGUAAAGCUCUUUUGGCGGGGACGAUGAUGACGGUACCCGCAGAAUAAGCCCCGGCUAACUUCGUGCCAGCCGCCGCGGUAAGAC
rnacentral:rRNA from 1 species